AGCCAGGUCGAUUGCUGCACGCGGAUGGCUGCGGCGGGAGAGUGACCACGAGCUUGGCCGGUGACAGCCACCGGCGAAGGAUAGUCGACGACCUUUACGCCCGCCGACCCGCGACAAAAAUAAAAAGUACGAAAAAUUAAUAAUAUGUUCGACAGUCAUACCUCAUGGACCUAUGGCAUUUAGUUCUUAAAUAUAAAUAUUGCCAAUGCGCGCCAAUGCGCUGGUCCAGACAAAAACGAAACGUUCCUGACCAAGUCUACAACAAAAUUUAAAAUAUACAACUGUCAAAAACGCGUAAUAUAAUUUAUUCGAAAUGAGAUAGAUAUAUCUACAAGAAUAGCGUUGCGGACACCGAUAUAAUAUAUUAUAUUAAUUGUAAAUCAUAUGAAAUGUGUAAGUUCUAUAUCUUAAAAUAUGGCUGAAUUAUUAAUUAUUUAAUAAGUUACUAAAAAAAAUAUGAUUCCUGAACUUUUAACUUUAAAUUUAUAAAGAAUCAAUAUUCCAAGAAAGAAAUUUGAAACAAAAUGCAAAUUUUUAUUUCACGAUUGAACAAACCUUAAACCAAUUAAAUUUUCUAUUUUCUUACUUAUUUUAUACAUUUAAAAUACACAUACGUGGAAUGUGGAUGGUAUUAAACUACAAUUAUUAAAAUGAUCAUACUAAGAAACUAUAGUAAUGAAUAUGCGUUGUUAAAUAUUAAUACUGCGUAAUAAUAAUGCAUUCAAAAUUACCAACAAUAGUUACCCUUUAAAAUAAUUUGCACACAUUUCUAUAUUUAAGUAUUUGUAUAAAAAAAAAAUGAUAUUAUUCACAAAUAAAUUGAGUGCAAAACA